rnacentral:rRNA from 1 species
UACGUAGGGUGCGAGCGUUGUCCGGAAUUAUUGGGCGUAAAGAGCUUGUAGGCGGUUUGUCGCGUCUGCUGUGAAAAUCCGGGGCUCAACCCCGGACUUGCAGUGGGUACGGGCAGACUAGAGUGUGGUAGGGGAGACUGGAAUUCCUGGUGUAGCGGUGAAAUGCGCAGAUAUCGGGAAGAACACCCGUGGCGAAGGCGGUUCUCUGGGACGGUACUGACGCUGAGACGCGAAAGCGUGGGGAGCGAACAGG